UACUCCUUUGAGCCAUAGACAAUAUAAAAUU
rnacentral:piRNA from 1 species